rnacentral:rRNA from 1 species
UACGUAGGCAGCAAGCGUUGUUCGGAAUUACUGGGCGUAAAGAGUGUGUAGGCGGUGCUCUAAGUUCGGUGUGAAAUCUCCCGGCUUAACUGGGAGGGUGCGCCGGAAACUGGAGUGCUUGAGCGCGGGAGAGGAAAGCGGAAUUCCUGGUGUAGCGGUGAAAUGCGUAGAUAUCAGGAGGAAUACCGAUGGCGAAGGCAGGUCUCUGGGCUGACACUGACGCUCAUGCACGAAAGCGUGGGGAGCAAACAGG